rnacentral:rRNA from 1 species
UACAGCAAAACUGCAAAUGGCUCAUUAAAACAGUUAUGGUUUACUUGAUAAUAAUUUUUACAUGGAUAACCGUGGUAAUUCUACAGCUAAUACAUGAGCAAAAUCUCAACUUUAUUAGAAGAGACGCAUUUAUUAGAUAAAAAGCCAAUGCAUGCUUUUACAGUAUGAAAAUUGGUGAUUUAUAAUAACUUAGCAAAUCGCAAAGUGAAAACAGGCGAUAAAUCAUUCAAGUUUCUGACCUAUCAGCUUUCGACGGUAUGGUAUUGGCUUACCGUGGCAGUGACGGUUAACGGGGGAUUAGGGUUCGAUUCCGGAGAGGGAGCCUGAGAAACGGCUACCACAUCUAAGGAAGGCAGCAGGCGCGCAAAUUACCCAAUUCUAACAGUUUGAGAGAGGUAGUAACAAGAAAUAACAAUACAAGGCAGUUAAAAUGCUUUGUAAUUGGAAUGAUAGAAAUUUAAACCCUUUUUAAAGUAUCAAUUGGAGGGCAAGUCUGGUGCCAGCAGCCGCGGUAAUUCCAGCUCCAAUAGCGUAUAUUAAAAUUGUUGCAGUUAAAAAGCUCGUAGUUGAAGUUCUGCUAAAAGUAACCGGUCUGCUUUUAAUAAAGGUGGUAUCUUGGUGUGUAUUUAGCAAUGAUGUCCUUUGAAGUGUUUU